GGAAUUUUGCUCAAUGGGCGCAAGCCUGAAGCAGCAACGCCGCGUGAGGGAUGAAGGCCUUCGGGUUGUAAACCUCUUUUCUCAGGGACGAUGAUGACGGUAACUGAGGAAUAAGCAACGGCUAACUAAGUGCCAGCAGCCGCGGUAAUACGUAGGUGGCAAGCGUUGUCCGGAUUUACUGGGCUUAAAGAGCGCGCAGGCGGUCGGAUCAGUCGAAUGUGAAAGCCCCCGGCUCAACUGGGGAGGGUCAUCCGAUACUGUCCGACUCGAAGGCAGGAGAGGGAAGCGGAAUUCCCGGUGUAGUGGUGAAAUGCGUAGAUAUCGGGAGGAACACCAGUGGCGAAGGCGGCUUUCUGGCCUGUUCUUGACGCUGAGGCGCGAAAGCUAGGGGAGCGAAC
rnacentral:rRNA from 1 species